GACAGAGGGUGCAAACGUUUGUUCGGAAUUACUGGGCGUAAAGCGCGUGUAGGCGGCUAAGUAAGUCGGGCGUGAAAUCCCACGGCUCAACCGUGGAAGUGCACUCGAAACUGCAUAGCUAGGACGUCUGGAGAGGAAGGUGGAAUGCUUGGUGUAGAGGUGAAAUUCGUAGAUAUCAAGCGGAACACCGGUGGCGAAGGCGGCCCUCUGGACAGUGACUGACGCUGAGACGCGAAAGCGUGGGGAGCAAACAGG
rnacentral:rRNA from 1 species